rnacentral:rRNA from 1 species
AACGUACCAUUGAGUGGGGGAUAACGUAGCGAAAGUUGCGCUAAUACCGCAUAUUCUCUCCGGAGGAAAGCAGGGGACCGCAAGGCCUUGCGCUCAUUGAGCGGCCGAUAUCAGAUUAGCUAGUUGGUGGGGUAAAAGCUCACCAAGGCGACGAUCUGUAGCGGGUCUGAGAGGAUGAUCCGCCACACUGGAACUGAGACACGGUCCAGACUCCUACGGGAGGCAGCAGUGGGGAAUUUUGGACAAUGGGGGCAACCCUGAUCCAGCCAUGCCGCGUGAGUGAAGAAGGCCUUCGGGUUGUAAAGCUCUUUCAGCCGGGAAGAAAACGCAUUGGUUAAUACCUGAUGUGGAUGACGGUACCGGAAUAAGAAGCACCGGCUAACUACGUGCCAGCAGCCGCGGUAAUACGUAGGGUGCGAGCGUUAAUCGGAAUUACUGGGCGUAAAGCGUGCGCAGGCGGUUUUGUAAGAUAGGCGUGAAAUCCCCGGGCUUAACCUGGGAACUGCGUUUAUGACUGCAAAGCUAGAGUACGGCAGAGGGGGGUGGAAUUCCACGUGUAGCAGUGAAAUGCGUAGAGAUGUGGAGGAACACCAAUGGCGAAGGCAGCCCCCUGGGUCGAUACUGACGCUCAUGCACGAAAGCGUGGGUAGCAAACAGGAUUAGAUACCCUGGUAGUCCACGCCCUAAACGAUGUC